AGACGAACCGGACAAACGUUAUUCGGAAUUACUGGGCUUAAAGGGUGCGUAGGCGGCGCGGAAGGUGGGAUGUGAAAGCCCUCGGCUCAACCGAGGAAUUGCGUUCCAAACCACCGUGCUCGAGGGAGACAGAGGUGAGCGGAACUUGCAGUGGAGCGGUGAAAUGCGUUGAUAUUGCAAGGAACACCAGUAGCGAAGGCGGCUCACUGGGUCUCUUCUGACGCUGAGGCACGAAAGCUAGGGGAGCGAACGGGAUUAGAAACCCCAGUAGUCC
rnacentral:rRNA from 1 species